GACGAAGGAUGCAAGCGUUAUCCGGAUUCAUUGGGUUUAAAGGGAGCGUAGGUGGUCUUAUAAGUCAGUGGUGAAAGCCCCCGACUCAAUCGGGGAACUGCCAUAGAUACUGUUAUUCUUGAGUGUAGUUGAGGCGGAUGGAAUAUGACAUGUAGCGGUGAAAUGCUUAGAUAUGUCAUAGAACACCGAUCGCGAAGGCAGUCCGCCAAACUAUCACUGACACUGAAACACGAAAGUGCGGGGAUCAAACAGG
rnacentral:rRNA from 1 species